UGGGAGCCGGUAUAGGGUAGAUGUUAGCGCGUCUGCCUUCCACUCUGAAGGUCUUGGGUUCGAACCCCAAGUUCGUAU